AACGAACGCUGGCGGCAUGCCUAACACAUGCAAGUCGAACGAGACCUUCGGGUCUAGUGGCGCACGGGUGCGUAACGCGUUGGAAUCUGCCCUUGGGUUCGGAAUAACAGUUAGAAAUGACUGCUAAUACCGGAUAAUGCCUUCGGACCAAAGAUUUAUCGCCCAGGGAUGAGCCCCGCGUAGGAUUAGCUAGUUGGUGAGGUAAAGGCUCACCAAGGCGACGAUCCUUAGCUGGUCUGAGAGGAUGAUCAGCCACACUGGGACUGAGACACGGCCCAGACUCCUACGGGAGGCAGCAGUGGGGAAUAUUGGACAAUGGGCGAAAGCCUGAUCCAGCAAUGCCGCGUGAGUGAUGAAGGCCUUAGGGUUGUAAAGCUCUUUACCGGGAUGAUAAUGACAGUACCGGGUAGAAUUAAGCCCCGGCUAACUCCGUGCCAGCAGCCG
rnacentral:rRNA from 1 species